GCAAACUUGGUCAUUUAGAGGAAGUAAAAGUCGUAACAAGGUCUCCGUAGGUGAACCUGCGGAGGGAUCAUUACACAAAUGAAAAUAUGAAGGCCCUUCAAACCGGCUGGAUUAUUUUUCUUCACCCUUGUCUUUUGCGCACUUGUUGUUUCCUGGGCGGGUUCGCUCGCCACCAGGACCACACCAUAAACCUUUUUGUUAAUGCAAUCAGCGUCAGUAAAAAGUAAUAAUUAUUUUACAACUUUCAACAACGGAUCUCUUGGUUCUGGCAUCGAUGAAGAACGCAGC
rnacentral:misc_RNA from 1 species